AUUGAACGCUGGCGGCAGGCUUAACACAUGCAAGUCGAGCGGGGUGAUGGUGCUUGCACUAUCACUUAGCGGCGGACGGGUGAGUAAUGCUUAGGAAUCUGCCUAUUAGUGGGGGACAACAUCUCGAAAGGGAUGCUAAUACCGCAUACGUCCUACGGGAGAAAGCAGGGGAUCACUUGUGACCUUGCGCUAAUAGAUGAGCCUAAGUCGGAUUAGCUAGUUGGUGGGGUAAAGGCCUACCAAGGCGACGAUCUGUAGCGGGUCUGAGAGGAUGCGCCGACCCACUGGGAAGGAGACACGGCCCAGACUCCGACGCGCGGCAGCAGUGAGGAAUAUUGGACAAUGGGGGGAACCCUGAUCCCGCCAUGCCGCGUGUGUGAAGAAGGCCUUAUGGUUGUAAAGCACUUUAAGCGAGGAGGAGGCUUACCUAGUUAAUACCUGGGAUAAGUGGACGUUACUCGCAGAAUAAGCACCGGCUAACUCUGUGCCAGCCGCCGCAGUAA
rnacentral:rRNA from 1 species